rnacentral:rRNA from 1 species
UCCUGGCCCUAAACGAUGUCCACUAGGUCGAUGGUCCUCUGACGGUUUGUCGGCCGAAGAAAAAUUGAUAAGUGGACCGCCUGGGGAGUACGGUCGCAAGGCUAAAACUCAAAGGAAUUGACGGGGGCUCACACAAGCGGUGGAGCAUGUUGCUCAAUUCGAUGCAACGCGAAGAACCUUAUCCUGGGCUUGACAUGUACGGAUGCCGACCUGGAAACAGAAUCGGCUGCCCUU